GAUGAAGAACGUAGCGAAAUGCGAUAAGUAAUGUGAAUUGCAGAAUUCAGUGAAUCAUCGAAUCUUUGAACGCACAUCGCGCCCGCCAGUAUUCUGGCGGGCAUGCCUGUUCGAGCGUCAUUUCAACCCUCAAGCCCCCGGGCUUGGUGUUGGGGAUCGGCGUGCCCUCGCGGCGCGCCGUCCCCUAAAUCUAGUGGCGGUCUCGCUGUAGCUUCCUCUGCGUAGUAGCAACACUCGCACUGGAUCGCAGCGCGGCCACGCCGUUAAACCCCCCACUUCUGAAAGUUUGACCUCGGAUCAGGUAGGAAUACCCGCUGAACUUAAGCAUAUCAAUAAGCGGAGGA
rnacentral:misc_RNA from 1 species